rnacentral:rRNA from 1 species
AGAGUUUGAUCCUGGCUCAGGACGAACGCUGGCGGCGUGCUUAACACAUGCAAGUCGAACGCUGAAGCCCGAGCUUGCUCGGGUGGAUGAGUGGCGAACGGGUGAGUAACACGUGAGUAACCUGCCCAUGUCUCUGGGAUAAGCGCUGGAAACGGCGUCUAAUACUGGAUACGAGCAUCCACUGCAUGGUGAGGUGUUGGAAAGAUUUAUCGGACAUGGAUGGACUCGCGGCCUAUCAGCUUGAUGGUGAGGUAAUGGCUCACCAUGGCGACGACGGGUAGCCGGCCUGAGAGGGUGACCGGCCACACUGGGACUGAGACACGGCCCAGACUCCUACGGGAGGCAGCAGUGGGGAAUAUUGCACAAUGGGCGCAAGCCUGAUGCAGCAACGCCGCGUGAGGGAUGACGGCCUUCGGGUUGUAAACCUCUUUUGUCAGGGAAGAAGCCUUCGGGUGACGGUACCUGGAGAAAAAGCACCGGCUAACUACGUGCCAGCAGCCGCGGUAAUACGUAGGGUGCAAGCGUUGUCCGGAAUUAUUGGGCGUAAAGAGCUCGUAGGCGGCUUGUCGCGUCUGCUGUGGAAACCCGAGGCUCAACCUCGGGCCUGCAGUGGGUACGGGCAGGCUAGAGUGCGGUAGGGGAGAUUGGAAUUCCUGGUGUAGCGGUGGAAUGCGCAGAUAUCAGGAGGAACACCGAUGGCGAAGGCAGAUCUCUGGGCCGCUACUGACGCUGAGGAGCGAAAGCAUGGGGAGCGAACAGGAUUAGAUACCCUGGUAGUCCAUGCCGUAAACGUUGGGAACUAGAUGUAGGGCCUGUUCCACGGGUUCUGUGUCGUAGCUAACGCAUUAAGUUCCCCGCCUGGGGAGUACGGCCGCAAGGCUAAAACUCAAAGGAAUUGACGG